AUACGGAGGAUCCGAGCGUUAUCCGGAUUUAUUGGGUUUAAAGGGUGCGCAGGCGGGAGAUUAAGUCGGCGGUGAAAUUUUGCAGCUCAACUGUAAAAGUGCCUUCGAUACUGGUUUCCUUGAGUGUGGAUAAAGUAGGCGGAAUUUGUGGUGUAGCGGUGAAAUGCUUAGAUAUCACGAGGAACUCCGAUUGCGCAGGCAGCUUACUAAACCACUACUGACGCUCAGGCACGAAGGCGUGGGGAUCAAACAGGAUUAGAUACCCUGGUAGUCCACGCAGUAAACGAUGAUUACUGGCUGUUUGCGAUACAAUGUAAGCGGCUGAGCGAAAGCGUUAAGUAAUCCACCUGGGGAGUACGUUCGCAAGAAUGAAACUCAAAUGAAUUGACGGGG
rnacentral:rRNA from 1 species